GCCGCGUACGAGGCGACCGUGGCGAAGACGCACGCCGAGGGAACAGAAGGGCGCGCCGUCCGAGGCCGACUUCGCCGGGGCCACAACCCGGUGCUCGGGCGUAGCGGAACUCCCAUUCCACGCGAGCAGCACGUACGCACGCGUUGUGAUGCGAACCGGAGCUGCGCACGCGCACAACCGCCGAAGCCUUUGCUCGACUACAACCGGCCAGGUGCGACGGACGGAGAAAACGCGAUCGUCUGUCCCGCCGCCGAGUCGAAUGGAGGUCGAGACACCGGCUACGGACUGCGUCAGCGUACGCAAGGUCUACCUCGCAGCUGCAGCUAUGGGCUCCACACGUGCUUCUCGUACAUCCCAUUGACCCAGCAUGCGGCACGACCAUGCGUGUGGUCUCAUUUCGGCGUCUGCCUGUGUUUUGGUGUCCAACUCGGCCGAUUGACCAACUGUACACGAGUGUUUAUUCAUUCCUCCCUAUUGGAAGCCGGAAUGCGACCGCCUUGGUCGAGAAUCGAACCAACGACCUCGUGUUCAGGAGCAGAGCGCCAUCACCAUUGAUACACCGCACGAACAAAAGGAAGUGUGACAACUGAACACCAAAAUGGAGUGCCUAUAUAGCAACCGCAGGGUUUCCGCGACGAACAAGACCAAGCGCAACAAAAAAGAAAGAAAGAAAAAAGAAACGCGUGAAGAUCCGAAAGGCUGCAGCCGUGCAAGCGAAUGUUCCAGCAAUGUCGGAAAGGCAGGGGAAAGGAUACAAGGCUUGCUGCUUGGCUGUGUCAUGUGGCAAGUCGGGGAGCAACACCAAGGCCGAAAUAUUUCCGUUUCCCAACGCUAGAGAUGUGACGCAUGGCGAAAUGACGCUGAAUAGGGACUCCUGGUGGGGCUUACAUAGAAGCAGAUGUAUAACGGCUACGGCUUCUGCCCUGACCACCUCAGAGGAAGGGACUGCACCGACCCUGUCGGGGUCGGCUGUGUCGACUGUUG